GUCAGCAGGUUGCGGAGGAUCGUGCGGGUAGCGAAAGGAGGGCGAGUGCUACUGCGGCCCCAGACAGCGACCAGGUAAGUACCCUGCGGAGCCCAACCCCAUGCCUACCCUCCGCACUCCCCUCAUUUCUGUCUCUUGAUAAACGGUGUACUUUGCAGGUCUGCAGCUCACGUGAUUGUCUGCUUGCUUGUCUCAAAGUCUCCGUCUCUCUCUGCCCACUCCACUCCGUGUCUGUCCCCACCUUUCUGUCUGCCUUUACCUUUCUGUCUGGCUCCCUCUCUGAGACAUAGGAGACCACCCAGACCUACAAGGCUGAAUCCUGAUCCAACCAAUAAAAACUAGCUGUAAAACCUCGAGCCUCACCCAGCUGGGCCUCAGUUUCCUCAUCUGUCAAAUGGGAGUCUAAUAAUCUCCUGAGACAAUACAUGUGCCUCACUUUGCCCUGCUGCCUGGCCCCUAGAAAAGUGUCAGUAAAUAAUAACUGUUAUGAUUGAAAAGAAUAUAGUCUCUCUUGGCUUUUGCCUUUAUUUUUUCCUGUCUCUGACCCUCCCCCCCACCCCAAUUGGUUCUUCUUUGUGAAUGUUUCUUUCUCUGUUAUUGCUUUUCCUCUUUCUGCCUCUUUCCCAACUGGUUAGAGGAGGGGUCCCGAGGCAGGGAAGAAGUGAGGAGGAGGACAUUUCUAUGUGCAUGUAUAUUUUGGAAAAACUGAGGAAGCAGAGAGGUCUCUCUCUUGCAGAUUCCCCAGACCUUCCCAGUCCCCAGCUCACACACUCCAUUCAUCAGACCACGGUGCUGAUCCGGCUUGGCUUGGCCUUGGGGUUUGCAGUGGGUGGGUUGGCCGUGCCGGGGGGCCCAGAGGCGUGCAGUGGGCCAUGGGGGGAGGUGGGUGGCAGGGGCGAGUGUGGGGUGUGGGGUGAGGGUGGGGGCAGGGG
rnacentral:lncRNA from 1 species